rnacentral:rRNA from 1 species
AUUGAACGCUGGCGGCAGGCCUAACACAUGCAAGUCGAGCGGAUGAAGGGAGCUUUCUCCUGGAUUCAGCGGCGGACGGGUGAGUAAUGCCUAUGAAUCUGCCUGGUAGUGGGGGAUAACGUCCGGAAACGGGCGCUAAUACCGCAUACGUCCUGAUGGUGAAAGUGGGGGAUCUUCGGACCUCACGCUAUCAUAUGUGCCUAGGUCGUAUUAGCUAGUUGGUGGGGUAAAGUCCUACCAAGGCGACGAUCCGUAAAUGGUCUGAGAGGAUGAUCAGUCACACUGGAAGUGAGACACGGUCAAGAGUACUACGGGAGGCAGCAGAGGGGAAUAUUGGACAAGGGGCGAAAGGCUGAUCCAGCAAUGCCGAGUGUGUGAAGAAGGUGUUCGGAUUGUAAAGCACUUUAAGUUGGGAGGAAGGGAAGUAAGUUAAUACCUUGCUGUUUUGACGUUACCAACAGAAUAAGCACCGGCUAACUUCGUG